AGAUGAGUUGCAGAUAGGUGGUCAGUUACCACAUUUUAACUAACACUUUUGACCUGUUAAUUCUUUUCAGCUUAAUUCAAUAGUGAAAAAUGCCCAUAAGUUCACUUUCAUAUUUCGUGGACACUUUCUUUCUUUAGUAACAGUGACCUUGACCCCUGUGGCUUUAAAUGCAACCGAUCACUGGCUCAUCAUGAAACAUACCUUCAUUUUUGUAUUUCUAAAUUUCAGCACAUUAUGUCCAUGCAUAAUUAAUUAAUUGAACGUAAUUUUAAUAUAUCAGUGAUAUAUGUUUAAUAGACCUUGACCAUCGUGGAACUUGAUCAAUGACCUCCAACAAUGUCUCCGGACACAUGUAUGAAGUUUCCAUUGAAUACCAGUAGUACAAACAGUGGAUAUUUUGCCCUUUAGAUCAGUCAAACCGUUACGCGAGUAACACAAUACCACUACGCCGUGCUCUGUGAAAAUGGGUUUAAUGCAUGUGCGUAAAGUGUCCUCCAAGAUUAGCCUUUGCAAUCCGCACAGGCUAAUCAGGGACGACACUUUCCGCUUUUGUAAUAUUUUCUGUUUAAAGAAAGUCUCUUCUUAGCAAAAAUCCAGUUUAGACGGAAAGUGUCGUCCCUGAUAAGCCUGUGCGGACUGCACAUGUUAAUCUGGGACGACACUUUACGCACGUGCAUUAUACCCCUUUUUCACAGAGCACGACUCAAAUAAAAUACGUAUACACGCACGGUAAUAAUAGUUCCUUCACCCUGUAUUUUUUUAGAACGUUAUGUGUAAAAAAAAGAUCCUUUUCGUAUGAUUGAAAUGUACAGAGUACAUGAAAAUGAAACUAAAACAUACAAUCAUUCCUAACCGUACGUUAUAGCAGUUUUCGAAAAAUGUUAUAAAAACAUACACACUUAUUUACUGUAUAUGUAUUAGUCAUUAUUUACUGUUUAUAUUUUGCACUAAAGCGAAUUGUCAAAUGUAAGCUUACUUCAAUAUUUAAUGUCAGUCUUGAUUUAGAGAAACGAUACGUUGCGGCCCUUGACCAGGGCUACAUACCACCAGAUGAGCCGCCAGAGAUAUCGUGCGUGUUCAUGGAUGUCGUCAGGACAACCUUUUGUUGCUCCAAGUCCGCCUACCCCGCUUCGUAUCUACCCUCGGGAGCUUUCAAGGAGGAACACGCGCCAUUAAUACAAGAAAAAACUCAUAAAAACAAAAGAUCCGUGUUAAAGUCGGAGUCUAACAGAAAUGCCAACAGACACGUCAAAAGAUCAAAAACAAAAAACGAAUCACGCGGCAUCAUUCGUCAUUUCGGUUCAGCGAAAUCAGUACCACGCCCAUUGACAUCGGAUACAAGGCGUUCCAGUUCUACAGCACGGUUGCCGCGUUCUGCAGCAGGAUAUAACGACCGACAUCACAGCUUGUCAAUUCAUAAUCCACCAAACUAGUUUCUCAUAGACGUUCUACACUAGAUCAAAGUGGAAUCUUCCUUGAAGAUUCCAGAAAAAAGCAUUAAAAAUAUGUUUCCUUGCGUUCAGUUAAAGGACAAAGCGCGUGUAUUAAUGGCGGUGCGAUGUAAAGUGAAUUAAGACAAAUUUCCAGACAGAGUAAUACCACUGGCGAUAGCGACCGUUACUAUGGUGAUCUCAGACACGGUGUUCCACGAAUGGUGUCCAAUCAUGGCUCUGAAUACAUGAUGAAUAACUCAGUCGAUGAUAUAAUGAUAGUUUUUCCUGGUUAAAAAUUUAAAGUAGCAUAAAUACUCUAAGUCAACGAAUAUCUCGCAAAAUAUUAUGUAAAAUAUAUUUAACCUAUUAAAAAUCAGUGCUCCUUGGCAAUAGCCAAAAUUUCAACGCAAGAUGUGGUAUGGUAACAUAUAUUUAAAGAGAUACAAAAUGCCCGUUUUUGUCCAUUGGCUUGCCAAUUGACUUAAUAACCGCAAAUCGAAAAUACGGUCCGGUCGUAAAGGUGUAAAAUUGAGGUAAAAUGCCCGGAUGUAUUAGGGUGUUGAUAAACAAAUAGAUUAGAUAAUAUUUCUUCUGAGAAUUGUCUAGCACCAUUUUAUUGCAUUUUUCUACGACCAUUUUAAGUGAAAAAAGGUCUUAAAAUAAAAAAUAAAGUUCGUUCAUCAAAUCUUUUAUUGGCAAAAGAGUUUAACGUUUACUAUACAAAGGGGGUAAUCACGUGAUAGUCAAGAUGGCGAUGUUUAUUUAGAGGAAGGUUUUUCGCCGUUAAAUACCUUUUAUUACAUGUAUUUUGAUUUCAAAUGCUGCUCAAUUUCAAACCAUAUCACCAAGAAAGUUACUAGCGUUUAUUUCGUAUUAAUAUUCGCUCUAUGUCUCGAUUUUACUCGCUGCGUAAUUUCUUAGCGGGAUGACCUGAUUAAAGCAAAUUUUUACUAAGAAAAUUUGCGGGGAGUAAAGUCGAGAUAUAAAGUCUAUUUUAAAACGAAAUUAACGCUACCGGUAAUCACAUUUUUACUAAUAUGGCUGGAAAUUGAGCGUCAUUAAAAAAAAUGCAGGAUAUAAGGAUAAAACAACCAAAUAUAACUGUCUCUGCAUGGACGUUGCCAUCAUGAUUAUCACGUGAUUACCCCCUCCGUUAUAGAUCUUAUGUGUCGCUUUGGCUGGUGAAAGUUUGCGUGGCGCAGUGGUAGCGCAUCCGCUAACAUAUCAAGACAUUACGGGUACGAAUACCGGCGACGUACGUACGUUUUUUUCCAACUUUUUUCUAUUAAAGUCUAUUAAAACAUUGAAGAUUUGUAAGCAAUCAUAUCUAAUGGCAUUUGAAAAAAUGCCCAUAUAUGUUAACAAUUCCAUUAAAACGUGGAUGGGAACGAGGUUUCGAUUCAAUUAUCGUAGUUCCACUUGUUUCAUAUAUGCCAACAUUCCAAUAAAUAUGUUCCUAACAUUUGUUGCUAAUUUUUUGCGUACUCAGUUAAGUGUCUUUUACAAAUUGAAUCUCGUCGUAUUUGAUUUUGAGAUAACUUACGUUUUCAAUGUUUUUAUUAAUGGGUUACUUUACUUUAAAAAGUUUUGGUAGAUACUUAAUCGUCUUGUUUUUGCAGAAGACAGUCGAGGGCUGUCAUAUCGUUAAUUUUUUUGACGGCAAACAUUUACCUUGCGAUUUAGGCCGGCAAUAAUGAGUGUCGAAUUACAGUAUUUUGAUAUGAAUCUGCAACAUAUUUUGAAAGUAAUUUGAAAUUAAUUUAAUAAUUUGUAUACGAAUUAAAAGUAUAGUAUAACAGUAUGUACUCAAAAGUACAGUAUGCAUGCAAUAUUUUGAGUAAAUAUAACAACACCAACAACGAAUUGUACCUUUCUGAUUGAAUGAACAUGAAAAGCGAUCGUAAUAGUAUUAUGAAUAGUACAAAACAAGAAAAACAAAGAUAUAAAUGUGAUCUUACUUAGCGAUUGAAAAGGUCAUGAUGAUGUAAUGCUAAGGUUAAUUAAAACAAGAGCAUAAAUACACGUCUAGCCAAUCAGAAAAACCAAUCUCCCUGAUAUAUAUUUCUAAUUUUCCGGUUUAUAUACGAUGGUUUGCACUAUUUCUACACUUCUUGUUUCAUUAUUGUAUGUGUACUUAUUAUUAAAAAACUUCUUUUUGAUAGCCUUUUAGAUUUUCAUUCAGUCAACUGUUCCUUUAACUUACUUCAGCAGUAACUUUCCGGUAUCUUGCCGAUGGAAUUUCAACGACAUCGGCGCUCUCGUUAUUGUUUUGUGGCACAAUAUAUUCAAAUGUAAUUUCCUGCAACGAUAUCUAAUCAUACGACAUACGAACACUAAAUUUGUACACGAACAUGCGUUGAAUAUAUUGUCUCACAAAAAAGAGCAUUUUGUUUCUUGUUAAAUCAAUGUUACCAGACCACAUCUAGCGUUAAAUUUGUGGCUAUUUCUAUAAGGAACAUUUGUUUUUAUGUGUUCACUUUAGUUUUAGAAAUAUUCUACGAAAUAUUCGUUGGUUUUGAAUGUUUAUGGGCUUGUAAACACUCGAUUUUAUUUCAAAUCCGGUUAUUAUAUUUCAUUAUUUAUAAAAUUGACCUUUUCACCUUUUGGUAAAUUGACAAACUUAAAAAGAAAUUGUUUCAGAUUCGCACAUUUUCGUUGAAAUUAUGGUAUGUAUGAAGAAACAGUAAAACUGAACAUUUACCAUGCUCUAAAAUAUCCAUUAUAUGCAUCCUUUGACGAAUUAAAAACAUGAAAAUUAUAAAGCGUUGCAACGCGAAACGAUUGAAU